rnacentral:rRNA from 1 species
UACGUAGGGUGCAAGCGUUAAUCGGAAUUACUGGGCGUAAAGCGUGCGCAGGCGGUUAGAUAAGCCAGAUGUGAAAUCCCCGAGCUCAACUUGGGAACUGCGUUUGGAACUGUUUAACUAGAGUGCGUCAGAGGGGGGUGGAAUUCCGCGUGUAGCAGUGAAAUGCGUAGAGAUGCGGAGGAACACCGAUGGCGAAGGCAGCCCCCUGGGAUGACACUGACGCUCAUGCACGAAAGCGUGGGGAGCAAACAGG